rnacentral:lncRNA from 1 species
GCCCAUCGUUGAUCUUCUUCGACUCCGUCAUCGUCUCUUCGCGCUUAGAGGUGACUAACUUCAGCCUUUCUUAUCUUUUUCAUGUUGUUUUUGGCUUGUGAUGUUCCCAUCAUUUUUUAGCUCAAAUCCACUUUGUUAUUUUGAAUCAUUCACAUGAAUUAGUAUCCAUAUAUAUAUAUAUAUAUAUCAUAUUUCAUGGUUGACCUAGUUUUAAUAUAUUUUGCAAG